AACCUUAGCUCUCUGUCAUCACAAAGAAGUUCACAUACGUUACAUAAAUGAAACGCAUGAACCAUGUCCUACCAAUUUGCUCAAUAUAGGUACAAACAUUUGUACGUUCGUCAUGGAUGAAUGGAUGUGAGCGUUGCAGAAAAGACCAGAUCCCAAGUAUCCGACGCUAGUUUUAAAAGUUGAAUGAAGAUGUCCUGGUGGUGAUGCUCUGUGACGGGGCUGAUCACGUGUCUGCACAUACAGAUGGUGUGGAUCAAUGCUCAUGCUUUUAGCCCCCCGAUUUGUCUUGUUUAUGACUUGUUUAUGUUUAUUGCCGUUAUGUAGCUGACUGCGGUGAUAAACAACAUUCACUCCAUCAAAUUCACGUGUAAUGGAUGUAUGCACGGUGACUGGCUUGCAGAUGUAUUGUUAGUUUUGAAAGCUAUCCUUAACUGAAUCUUCUCUUUCCUUCAGGGACCUUCUUCAACACCAACAACGACUGGAGGUAAUGAAACAUCAUUAAACCAUAACACUGCCAGCGCUGUGACGUCAUCGAUCUUCGGGACAGUUCUCUCCGUUGUGGGCGUGGCCACCGUUAGACAAGUGCUCUAGACCGUCCUUCUGACCAACGUCAACUGUACAAGGAGAAUACUUAUCACACAAAAGGGAACGUCAGAAUUGUAUAGAUGUAUUAUUAAGUGACAUUUCACCACCUAGAACUUCUUAUGUACACAGUUACUCUCAGAACAAUAACGUGUCUUUGUUCAUAUGUUUUAAAUAUUCAUUUUCUUUGAGGAUAUAGUUUUGGCAAUAUAGGUAUUUUCCUUGUGACAUAACCCCUGGCAAACUGACGUCACACUGUCUCCAUUUUCUACCUAUUUCCAUACCUUCCUGUUCUAAAUUGUCCAUGAUUAAGAAUUCCAACGAAGCCAUUUCUACUUGUCUCCCCGCUAAGACAAAGUACCACGUGUUUUGUACAGUGAGUUUAUAAGUAGCCGUUCUGUGGCAAUGACUUGGGUUCGCGUGAUCACAUGUUGUAAUGCUUGUUUGUUUGCUGUUUAACGCCGCACUCAGCAACAUUCCAGCUAUAUGACGGCGGUCUGUAAAUAAUGGAGUCUGGUCCAGACAAUCCAGUGAUUGACAUCCACUGCAAUCUGGCAAUCACUACAUGUUGUAAUGCAGUCAUAGAGAGACUGAAGUUUAUGAUUUUACCGUUGUAUCUGAAAUGACUUGCUAUAAAACCCUGUUCUGUAAUACACAAUAAUGAUUUUGCAAUAAAACACUGUUUCCGAUCUGU